rnacentral:rRNA from 1 species
CGCGUAGGCGGUGCGGUAAGUCUGGUGUGAAACCUCCAGGCUCAACUUGGAGCUUGCAUCAGAAACUGCCGUGCUAGAGUGCGGGAGAGGAGAGUGGAAUUCCCGGUGUAGCGGUGAAAUGCGUAGAUAUCGGGAGGAACAUCGGUGGCGAAGGCGGCUCUCUGGACCGCAACUGACGCUGAGGCGCGAAAGCUAGGGGAGCAAACAGGAUUAGAUACCCUGGUAGUCCACGCCCUAAACGAUGGACACUAGGCGUCGGGGGGAGCGACCCUCCCGGUGCCGUCGCUAACGCAAUAAGUGUCCCGCCUGGGGAGUACGGCCGCAAGGCUGAA